rnacentral:rRNA from 1 species
GAUGAACGCUGGCGGCGUGCCUAAUACAUGCAAGUCGAGCGAACAGACGAGGAGCUUGCUCCUCUGACGUUAGCGGCGGACGGGUGAGUAACACGUGGAUAACCUACCUAUAAGACUGGGAUAACUUCGGGAAACCGGAGCUAAUACCGGAUAAUAUAUUGAACCGCAUGGUUCAAUAGUGAAAGACGGCUUUGCUGUCCGUUAUAGAUGGAUCCGCGCCUCAUCGGCUAGUUGGUGAGGUAAGGGCUUACCAAGGCUAGGAUGCGUAGCCGGCCUGAGAGGGGAAACGGCGACAUGGGGACUGAGGGACGGCCCAGACUCCUACGUGACGCAGUAGGGGAGAAUAUUGCGGAAUGGCGGGAAGCCUGAUGCAGCAACGCCGCGAGCGUGAUGACGUCCUACGAGUGGUAAACCGCUUUCGACGGUGACGAGGAGGGAGUGACGGUAAUUAGUAAGGAAGCACCCGCUAACUACGUG